UAUGUACCAUUUUGUUCCACAAUUUUUCCACUUUUUAAGGAAUGUCCACAUGUUAUUUGUUUUCAACCAUUCCAAUAUAUUCAGACCUGCACCGCCUACUAAAAUUCGCCAUGAACUUUCCAGACAACCCAAUACAAUGUUAAAAACCAUUAAAUUUUGCAUUUAAAAUUUGUUCAGUAUCACUUAUGGUAUCAGUGAAAUCAGCAAAAAUAUAAAUAACCAGAAUUAUUUCGAAGGGGAGGUUCCAGCCUUGAAACCAUUUUUGAGUAAAAAUGAAAAAGGGCACGUAUUUAGGUUCCCAACUAAGUACAAACUCAUUAAUUAUGAACGUAAUUAGGAACUUUAUUUCUGCAAAAAUAUGAAUUUUUCGGAGUGUAUUAAUUGCCAAACUUCCAUUAUGAGUGAUAUUAUAUUGUACGCCGUCAUUAUAUUGUACACGGUUGCUGAAGUUAUCGACCCUUGUCGUGCACUCUCAGGGAAAUAAUAAGUAGGGUGUCUCAUGGCAACACAGUCGUAAGGGCCGCACCCUUCGCAUUGCAUGUGCAAUUUCUUCUUAAAAAAGGUGCUUUACAGUUAAAACGCUGCGAACGUUUGCCUAUUUUAAUCUGAAACAUAUGGAGAGAAAAAUAAGCGAAACGUUCUAAGUAAAUGGUUUAUGGAAACCACAGUGUUUAAAUAUUAUCUUUUGUCUUUGCAAAACAAGUUUUCAUCGAAACGAUCGAUUGUUCCAUUUUAAUUCAACUUUUUGCUGGACUUUUCGCGAAGAAACUGAGAAAAUUAAUUCUGAAGAUGUCUAAAAAUUAAUUCUAAAUUCCAGCUUUGAGAAAAGUAAAGUUGUAUAGGAUUCAUAAAUUCUGAAGAGAUCACAAAAAUUUAAUGUGACAGGAUUUUUCAUCAAAGAACUAAGAAAAUCAAUUCUAAAUUCCGACGUUAAAGAAAAUUAAUCUGAAUAGAAUUCAUGAAUUGUUAAGAGGUUGCACGAAUAACUUCUACUACGAUUGUGAAAUUACGUAUGUUUCAAUUGCGUUGAAACAUAGUUUCAGGCUUACAGAAAUUUUCACCAAUAUUACUAUACAAGUCAACGUAUAACCUAGUCUGAAAGAGAGAAGAAUCUAAGUUGCUCCCAAUAGAGAUAUCAAAGACUGCCUACGUGUAUUGUUUCUGCCCUAUAGACUUAUAAUUUCAUAGCAAGAAUUGUCUAAAAGUAUGCUACCCUCGAGCAAAGAUCAUAAAUAUGCAUAGCCACUUCCUUCGAAUGCCACGUAAUAUUAGGUAUGCCCGGUCUUAAAAGGAAAGAGCAAAACGCAGUCGGUAAUGGCGUGAGCCAUUUGCAUAAAUCAUGCGGUGCUUUUAUUUAUUUCAUAAGCGAACCAUCGGGUCUUAUUUGCUACGUUGGCACUGUUAUAGUACGAUUUAUAGUACGAACAAAUCAGUGAACAAAGGAGCUGCCUUUUGAACGAAAGAUAACCAGGUUUAAAAUGGCUAGAGAUAAUUCAUUUUCAAUUUCCUUUUCAUUUUUUCUUAUCUACGUACAUAUCAGAUGUAGAAAAUAAUUCUGAUCCUUUCUGAAAUUAACUUAGCAAUCGUUUAUAAAGAAAAACCAUAGAAAUUCUAAUAUUUCCUCGGCUACUCAAAUUGUAACUAACUGUUUCUAUUUAAACUACUAUCAUAAAUGAUUGAUGAUUAGUUCUACCGUACUUUCAUUUAAGGAAACCCCUCAUUUAUAAAUUAUUUUGUGACAAAAAAAUAAUUAUUAGUAGUAUCGACGGAAUUAUACGCGAGAUAGUCUCAUUUAACAAUUUCGUGUAACUAUUAUGAAUUAAAUGUUACUGAAUAUUUGCAUGUUCAUAAAAAAGUAAUGGUAAUAAAAAAUUUCCAGAAAUUUCGUUAUUCAUUUUAUCAUAUUAAUUUAAAAUAAAUUACAUAUUUUUAAUUCAUGUUUACGGUUUAAAAAUGCUUCGUUAUUAAUACUCAUACCGCAAGAAUAAUAGAAGUUUAAGUCAAGUCAAGUUAGCCAAGUAAAUUUGUAACCCAAUGGAAUGUUGAUAAUUAAUCGAUAGAAAGAGCAAACAUUAGAGGUGAACGAUAGAGACUUUCAGCUGUCAGCUGUCAAAUCUACCACCGGCACACAUUACUCGCAAUAUCCGUGUCAAGAUCAAAUGUUUAAACGAUCGCGUGCACGUUCAAAGGUUACGACGUUCGAUUGCAACAAUUUGCUGUAGACAGCAGGUUGUAAUUACGAAGGAAAAUGUUACGCGUAACCUUCCUUGUUCUAGCCGAGGGAUUCAUUAAGAGUAAUCCGUAUUAUACUACGUAAUCCACGCUCGAGUCUCCACGCAGUAGAAUGAUUUCUUAUUUAAACUUGAAAGUUAAACCAUAAAAUAGAAAUUGUGUAACAAAGCGUAUAAUAAAAUAAAAUCUUUGCAGACGUACCUACAAAAAUUUAAUCUAAAUAGGAAUUUAUUUUACUCCGCAAAUAUUAUAAUAUAAGCUUUACUUUCGAUAUUUUGUUUUUUCAUUCUUCCAUACUGUGUGCAAUAGUUUUACUCGGAUUCGAAUUUCCUAUGAAAGCAUAAAAAUCUACUGAUUUGUUUUAAAUUAAAUUUUCCUUUUAAGUGAAACAAAAAUAUUGCAACUUAUUAAGUGCUUAAGUGAACAUUCUAGCUAUCGACAGAGAGAAGAAAAAUAAUAAACGUUUCCAAACAUUUGGUCUUCAUAAAGAAUCUGUGAGGAAUACAUAUACUAGUAAUUUAUUAAUGAUAAAUAUAUAUACAAUUUUGACUAUCAAAAAUAUCUAGUAGCAAAUAUGCAACGUUGAAAGUCCAAAAAAAUAUACUUUCUUUCAAAUAAUAUCGUUAAUUACACUCGCAGAGUAAAGAAGAAAUUUAAUUUCGCUCUGAUCAUGAAUAAUAUGUUUAAAUUGAACAAUACGUUGUCAAAAUAUCAACAAAUGCAGAACUAACGAACGUGGCUAAAAGAUAAAAUUUUCUUUAAUCGGAGCACACGUAUUUUCAAAAGCUUUAUCACUCUCCCGUAAAUUCCGAAGAUAAAAUGUCGUUCACAUAAGUUCAUAAUUUGUGCAUAUGCCAAUCUUAUUUGAUAAAAAUUGUAUUGGUAACAGCAUACACAGUUCAGCUCUGCCUUUGUACCACAAAUAUAAACUUAUCAUCAAUUUAAACUGUAUAUAGUAUAUUUUUUUCAUUCAGCAUUUCAUUUCAUAUUGCACACAAUCACCGUCACAAUAAAUACCCAUCAACUUUCUUCAUUAAAAGAAGAACAUUCGCGAAGCUUCGCGAACGGUGUCGUGUUUCCACGUAUGUACAUAUGCGCAGACUCGAGGCUGCUUCGAUCAAAGCGUUCAUCCCAUCCAACGUAAUGGAACGAAUUCAACAGUUUCUGUCGAUACAAACAUACACGAACAUGUUUAGAGCACCGAUAGGUUCUUUGUUGAAAACCGGUUCAUUAUUAUCGAACAUAGACGAGAUUAUCGCGUAUGACCGUGUUACGCCACGCGGAUUGCUCGAAGGUUCAAGAGUCACUACGAAACACGAUAAAGUUUCUUAUCAAGCAAAAGUCAAUGUCGGUGGUCGUGAACCAACUCUGGGGAUAAAGUUAGUUAUUAGACUGCGGAUUUUAUGCAUUGGUGUCCAUUAACGUGGAAAAAGAUCGAAAAAAUUAAACGUAACGCGUGUAAAAUAUAUUCUUUCAAUUAUGUUUUUGUUUUGCAUAAGUGCAUAUACUUUUUUGUUUUGUUUAGCAUAUGUUUUCAUAUUUCCUUGUACCAUAAAUGCAUAUAACAUGCAGUUUAUUGAUUACAGAAAAAUUCUACUUUGGUAGUUGUCCGCGUAUAGUCUGAUUUAUUAAUCUGCAACGAAGAAUUGUUUUGCAUAAAAUAAACUAAACCUCUACUUGACGUUAGCUUAAAACGUCCACCAAUCCUGCGACGAUGCUUCCUUUGCAUCAUAUUGUUGAAAAAUUAAAGUAUAAAGAAGUGUUUCAAAUUGUAGUGAUGACCGCCGUACCACAAUAUCUGAUACAACUUGAAAAAUACACACAAAAAUACUCAAAGAAGUUGAAUCAGCUAUCAGUUUCAGGUCGAAAAAAUUGGAGUAAGUAGAGAAAUUUUUGGAGUAAACAACGCUACAUAUUAAAUCGCAACUUUUCGUUCUAAUUACUGCUGUAAUUUACUUUAACACUAAAUCAGCUCUUAACAAUUUUAAUAAUGCUGUAUCGAAAAGGUCAACGUAAUCGGUAGACACGACUGCGGCAAAAUCGUUAAUUGGUAACGAGGAAUACAGACUAUUAUUCCAUACGAGUCAUUAUCUGAACUGGGCAAAAUUUAACAAUUCCAAAAUUGGGGCUUCGAAGAAAUAAAACAGGUCCUCUUAAAAUAUAAACCUUCGCAAGCGUAUCUCGAGUCGAUACAAGUGCCUUUCGUGCUUGGAAAUGUAAUAUCUGAAUAUAGUUCAGAAUUUUUUGCCGCAAAGAGUGAAAUAUAUUUAAAUAUAUUUAAAAUCCUCAUAUUUAAAGAUCUACGUACAUUUUUAUUUUGAAAAAGUAUCGUAUAAGGAGGCUCUCGAAUGUUUUUAUGUAUUUCACCGAGUAUAUUCGCAAUUUCAAAAGGAAAUGGCAGAGGAUACCCGGUUAUUGACGCAAGGGGUACUCGAUGCAGGACAUGUAUGUACAAUGCGUUGCGUGUGCUCAAGGAUUCCGCACAGCUGCAGUGAGAAUUCGAUUCAGAAGCCUUGUCGAUGAGUCAACGCUUAGGACUGUCAAAGUCGUCCACGUGGAAAUAGACGCGACCUGAGCGUCGCUGGUCAUGUAACCAUAAAGUCAAAGAACCUUUCACGGGCAUUAUUCAAAACUAAUUAAAACGAAAUCGAAAGAGAUGGACGUGUCGGCCAAAGAUGGCCAAAAUUCUUGUUCUAUUGUGAUAUAGUUACGAAUGUUCGAAUAACGAAUAAAAGGUAAAUAAUUUGUUAUACGUUGCAGGUUAAUAGAGCACCCGGGAUUAUUAUCAAGAUCUGGUUUAUUAAUUAUGUGAAUUAGAUUCGUACAGUAUGUUCGUUAACGUAAUAAUUUCGACAAGAAGUUUUAAUUUAAUAUGUAGUGUUUUGCUCCAAAAAUUUCUCUACGUACGCCAUUUUUCAACCUGAAACUGAUAGUCAAUUCAACUUCUUUAAGAGUGACAGUAUAUACACGAAGAUCGUUUCUCAAGUUAUUUCAGAUAUUGU